rnacentral:rRNA from 1 species
GUUUGAUCAUGGCUCAGGAUGAACGCUGGCGGCGUGCUUAACACAUGCAAGUCGAACGAAGCACUUUAUUUGACUUCCUUCGGGAUUGAUUAUUUUGUGACUGAGUGGCGGACGGGUGAGUAACGCGUGGGUAACCUGCCUUGUACAGGGGGAUAACAGUUGGAAACGGCUGCUAAUACCGCAUAAGCGCACAGCAUCGCAUGAUGCAGUGUGAAAAACUCCGGUGGUAUAAGAUGGACCCGCGUUGGAUUAGCUAGUUGGUGAGGUAACGGCCCACCAAGGCGACGAUCCAUAGCCGACCUGAGAGGGUGACCGGCCACAUUGGGACUGAGACACGGCCCAAACUCCUACGGGAGGCAGCAGUGGGGAAUAUUGCACAAUGGGCGAAAGCCUGAUGCAGCGACGCCGCGUGAGCGAAGAAGUAUUUCGGUAUGUAAAGCUCUAUCAGCAGGGAAGAUAAUGACGGUACCUGACUAAGAAGCACCGGCUAAAUACGUGCCAGCAGCCGCGGUAAUACGUAUGGUGCAAGCGUUAUCCGGAUUUACUGGGUGUAAAGGGAGCGCAGGCGGUGCGGCAAGUCUGAUGUGAAAGCCCGGGGCUCAACUCCGGUACUGCAUUGGAAACUGUCGUACUAG